CAUCCAUUCCCUCCGUUCCACAAUACAUGCCUUCUAUUUGUCAAAAUAUAGAUGUAUCUAGACAUGUUUUAGUAUAUAGGUACAUCCAUUUUUGGACAAAUGGAAGUCAAGUAUUUUGGAACGGAGGGGGUACACA
rnacentral:pre_miRNA from 1 species